CUGCAGGCAGAGGGAAUGAGGCUCUGGCGUGUUUCUGCAGGAUCAGAAAACCUCUCAUGAAUACAGAACGAGAGCGAGACACACGACUGAACAUCAUCACUAUGUCUGAGCCAUGAAGCACUUGGAUCCUAUAUAAAGAAACAACAAGAGCCAUAAACCAAAUAGAAUUUUCAACAGAGAAGCUUCAAAGAGAUUCAUUCAUCACAAGAAAAGAGUUAUUUUUAAAAUAUGUGAAAGGAAAGAACCUGCUUAUGUCCUGACAAGACGAACUGGACCUUAGGGAUUCUUUACUCUGCAGUUUCAGCAACAUACCCAGUGUCUCCUGGGUGCUUCAGAAUUCUCUCUGCAGUGGACGCCUUUCUCCCCAGUGCUCCAGCCCCACUCAACUGCCCUGUUUGCCUCUGCUGUGACCUAAGAGUAUUUAUUAUUUCACAGCUUUUCAAGGGCCUCCUUGUCUUACUCCACCCCCACCUUCCCAGCGGAUCACUGUCACGGAAUUAAUCUGCAAAAAUCAUCUCUCUCAUUUGAAAAUUUCAAUGGCAAUACUCCAACUAACAAGCAAAAUUGAAUUUCUUAGCCUGAUGUUCUAGGUUUCUAGCUUCCCAUCUUCUUGCUCAAGAGGAAGAUCACUACAUUCAAACCAUGUGGCUCUUCCUGCAGCAUCCACGCUGCACCCAGUUGAUCCCACUUACAUCUUUCCUAUCCUCCAAAGCUCCACUUCACCACAGCCAAAAGAAGCCUCAUCCGUAUCCAAAGAAUCAUAAACCAAGCUCACCUGACUGUGCUGUAUCCUUUGCUUUUUCCUUGAAAAAAACACUGCAAUUUUACACAGAAAAAGAAAAAUAACUGAAGUAUAAUUUACACUAGGGAACUCUGAAGGAGGUUGAUUCCCUUUAAGAAGCGAGUUGCAUGAAAUAAAGGAACCUGUCCGUGGCUCCUGAUAAAUCACACAGAACCGCGAACACAUACAGCCAAGCGGGCUUGAUACGGACUUUAAUCUUCAUUAUACAUUUCCGGUGGUCAAACAAAGAGCUUCUAAGGCAUCUUACAACUGUGCAGCUCCAGAUACUGAACUGAUUGAUAUUCACGCCAGAAUGCGGGUCAUCCCUCUAUAAUUCAGGCUUUCAUCCCCAAACUAUGUAUCUGUUCUUCCUAAGUUAUAAAUCUUAAGCCAUAAACUUGUAAAGUUAUAAACUAUAAGCCAGUUAGGAAUACAAUUCAGUUUUCUUGAGUUUGGUCUCCUACGCCCUUAGAAAGCCAUCCAACUUCCAACAGUGGCAGUGCUCCUCAACCCUCAAUUUGUUAUUGAAAGAUAUUUUCAUUAAGAUUGAAAAUAUUUUGCAUCACGUCAUGCUUCAGUUUUGACCUUGUCUUUUCCCAAAGUGUUUCACAUCUUGAGAAGAAAUCCCUUCUUUUUCCUUUCUUAUGCAGCUCAACAAGUCCACUGAGAAUUCAACACAGAUGUCACGUUGCCGUAUUUAUCAAUAUUAGGUAAUUCCCCUUGCCAUAAGCACUGGCAGGAAAGCUAUCUAUCCUUUAUCUCCAAUCUGAAUGUCAAGGUUAUCAGAAUUAGUUCCGGAUGCAGAUGUUAGAAAGCCUCAUUCAACUAAAGAAAUAACGUAAAAGAUUUCAGGAGGUAGUUAAGCAAUAUUCCAUCACUAACUCAUGCACCUGUUUCAAGGACGAGUUAUCCGUCUUAUAGAAGUCUGUUUACUUUCUUUUUCCUCCUGUAGAGCUGUCCUUCAUCAAACUGUUUGGUCUCCCUUUUGAGUGCACUUCUGCAGACAGCACACAUGUCAAGCCUUCAUAAAGUAUAUCUCCUGCCAAAUACAAAUUUAGUGUCUUCCCGGAGAAAGUAAAGGGGCACAGACAGACUCCAGGGAAAACAAAGAUUUUUGCCUUUUUCAAAGCAGAGUGUCCACCAGGUGUAGUUGCAUACGCCUGUAAUCCCAGCACUCAAGGAAGCUGAGGCAGGAGGAUCACUGUGAGUUCAAGGCCAGUCUGUACUACAUAGAAGACGCUGUCUCAAACGUUCAAAAACUAUAUAAUAAAUAAACCCCAAACAAUAAAAUAAAACAAAACAAAAAAACCCAAAGCAGACUGUCCACUUGAAUAAAAUGUUCUAGCUCAUUCAAAUAUUAUAUUAACUUUGUUCAAAAUAAACAUAUACUUUUACCUGGAAAUCUUUUUCUCAGGAAACAAACUAACCAAAAUGCUACCUAUGAACUUCACCAAACUUUCUGGGGAAAUACUUCUCCAAUUUUCUUUUGGCACACACAAUAAUAACCCACAGACCUAGCUGAGUAUCUACCUUACUUUUUUUUUUGGUACCAGGGAUCGAACUCACAACCUUGCGCUUGCCAGGCAGGUGCCUACACCACCGACUUCCAAAGAUACCUAGCUAUGAUCCAUUCCACGACAAAAAAAUUUCUAGAGUAAAUCUAAAACCGUAUCUAGUGGUCAAAUCACAAGUAGAUCAUAGGACAAAUUUAAAAGAUGGGUAAGAUACCUCUGACAUACAAACUACACUUGACUAAAGAGAUCUACACUUAAAAUCAAAUAUACUAUUAUCAUAUACAAACAUAUCUGCAUAUAGCUAAGCCUUAGUAUAUGAAAAUAAUAUAAAAUACAGCUCACAUAAACCAGAGUUCUGUGCUUCAGAAAAUCACCACCACCUCUGGUCACUGCUGCUGCCCCUACAGAAUGAAAAGUUACCUUCAUUUUCAAAUCAUAGCAAGGUUUGUGGCCCUCUGAAAGGGUAUGUAAGAAUUUCCAUUUAAAAUUUUCUAUUUUCAGGGGUUUAUAAAAGCUAUAAAAAUUCUCUCCAAACUAAAACUUGGCAAACAGGAACUCAGCAUGAGGACAUUUUUUUAAAGCCUAAAUUUAAAAACAGUAUGUUCGUGUAAUUUUUUUUUUAAGUAAUAAGAAGUCCAAAAAGGACAGUUUUUUUGGUUUUUUGGAGGUUUUAGUUGUAUUUAAAAAAAAAAAAAAAAACUUGCAUUCCACAGGAGCUAACUUGUUUGUAAAAAUGAAAAUCUGAAGAUCGUAAAUUCAAAUUUUGGCCCUAUUAUUUCCAUGAAUGACAUAAACUAACAUCCUCUAAAAAGGACCCUAAAAUGAAGGGUGAAUAUUUAUUAUUCUCAAAGGAUCAUGUUCACAAAUAACUCAAAUUGCCCUCCAAUACUGAUGCAAAAGAUUUUUUAAAGUACUACACAUGGCUUCUUCUUUUUUUAUAAAAGCUAAACAGGCACAUUCAAUAAAGUCCAACAAGUCAAAUAAAAAAAUACUGUAAUAUAUUUAUAUGAAUGAUGUAUUUAUUUGGCUUUAUCAAUCACAACUUUAAGAUUUGGGUCAAAACUUAACCCCCCUAAAGUUGGUGGAUGGUAAAAUAAUAUUAGUGUACUGUACUUGUCUACAAAAACACAUCAUAAAUAUAUGUUCUAGUAAGAUUAGUAUAUAUUGCUUCAAAGACAAUUUUAUAAACACGAAAAGUUUAAUUUCUGUUUCAACUCCAAAACCAGGCAGCCCCCGCUCCACCUUAAAUGCUGUUAAGAGUACAGAAAUGACACACAAACCAUUGAAUAAGUCACGCUUCCUAUUCUUACAAUAAGCAUCACCUUGCAGAGGACCUAGUCACACAAAACAUAAAGCACCUGUACCGCACCCUCUUAAAAACCCACUACAAAAAUAUUUUCAGGAAAUACAGUUUGGGUCGGCCUCUCCUGUUUUCCUCCACACUCUGGGAUUAGCAAAGAUCCAAGCAGAUACUCAAGACACAUGAAUAUACUAACAGAAGUUAAAUAUAGCUUUUGGAAAUACUAUGUAACAUGAACCUAGUUGCUUUAAACUCAUGUAAAAAACAUGAAAUACUAAUUUAAGAGAAGCCCAAAUGGUGGCCCUCUACCUAAGUCAGCAAAUGACCACUGUUGCAUCCUGCCUCGUCCUCCUGGGGACUUACAGUCUUGGGUAUCAUCGUUCUUUUCUUUUUUACACCAUCUUUCAUUUGCCCACGGCUUAUACCAAGAUCUCUUCCAUGCAUGUGGGGUGGUUGGCUACCCACUCAACGCCCAUACUUUGGGCUUCUUAGGAAGAAAAAAAGAAAUAAAAAGAGAUUUUCUUUUUU